UCCCUGGUAGCUCAGAGGUUAAAAGCGUCUGCCUCCAAUGCAGGAUACCUGGUUAGAUCCCUGGUCGGGAAG
rnacentral:tRNA from 1 species